rnacentral:rRNA from 1 species
AAGCCUGAUCCAGCCAUGCCGCGUGCAGGAUGAAGGCCUUCGGGUUGUAAACUGCUUUUGUACGGAACGAAAAGACUCUGGUUAAUACCUGGGGUCCAUGACGGUACCGUAAGAAUAAGCACCGGCUAACUACGUGCCAGCAGCCGCGGUAAUACGUAGGUGGCAAGCGUUGUCCGGAUUUACUGGGCGUAAAGGAUGCGUAGGCGGAUAUUUAAGUGAGAUGUGAAAUACCCGGGCUCAACUUGGGUGCUGCAUUUCAAACUGGAUAUCUAGAGUGCAGGAGAGAAAAGUGGAAUUCCUAGUGUAGCGGUGAAAUGCGUAGAGAUUAGGAAGAACAUCAGUGGCGAAGGCGACUUUCUGGACUGUAACUGACGCUGAGGCAUGAAAGCGUGGGGAGCAAACA